rnacentral:rRNA from 1 species
UACGGAGGGUGCAAGCGUUAUCCGGAUUUACUGGGUUUAAAGGGUGCGUAGGUGGAUUUGUAAGUCAGAGGUGAAAUCUCCGAGCUUAACUCGGAAACUGCCUUUGAUACUAUAAGUCUUGAAUUAUCUGGAGGUAAGCGGAAUAUGUCAUGUAGCGGUGAAAUGCUUAGAUAUGACAUAGAACACCGAUAGCGAAGGCAGCUUACUACGUCUCGAUUGACGCUGAGGCACGAAAGCGUGGGGAUCAAACAGG